GGGGGUGAAGGGCUUCGACUUCGGUCGUCGAGGCAGGAGAAGCGAGCCGUGGUCUCCGGAGCCACGUUAAAGAGCCGGAACCAAAAACAAGCGCCGAAGACAACUUCGCGCUCGCUGCCUAAACCACAGCGACGUCGGCCCGGUCCCAGCCCCGCGGAUCGGAUGCCGGCGCCAUCCAGUGGGGCUAACCCGCCGGCGUCGUCAGCGCACCGGCGGGGACAACUCAGCUGACUGGGGCCUCCCGCCGGUGCCGGUGGCGAGCGGGAGGCCCGAGAUCCCGACACCGGCUGCGCUCGGAGAAGUCCUGCUGAGAAACCGAAGGACGCGGGUUCGAUUCCCGCCACCUCCACCA
rnacentral:tmRNA from 1 species